GCUUCUACAGUAAAAAAGGUUUAUCAACUGGAUCUUUCAUAGAGUCCCAAGCCAGAGAAAACCGUGGCUCUGAAUCAUUGCCUGGCCUCUGCCUAUGGGCUGCUGGCACUGAAGUGGGUUACAUAGUG
rnacentral:snoRNA from 1 species